AGAGUUUGAUCCUGGCUCAGAUUGAACGCUGGCGGCAGGCCUAACACAUGCAAGUCGAGCGGAUGAAAGGAGCUUGCUCCUGGAUUCAGCGGCGGACGGGUGAGUAAUGCCUAGGAAUCUGCCUGGUAGUGGGGGACAACGUUUCGAAAGGAACGCUAAUACCGCAUACGUCCUACGGGAGAAAGCAGGGGACCUUCGGGCCUUGCGCUAUCAGAUGAGCCUAGGUCGGAUUAGCUAGUUGGUGAGGUAAUGGCUCACCAAGGCGACGAUCCGUAACUGGUCUGAGAGGAUGAUCAGUCACACUGGAACUGAGACACGGUCCAGACUCCUACGGGAGGCAGCAGUGGGGAAUAUUGGACAAUGGGCGAAAGCCUGAUCCAGCCAUGCCGCGUGUGUGAAGAAGGUCUUCGGAUUGUAAAGCACUUUAAGUUGGGAGGAAGGGUUGUAGAUUAAUACUCUGCAAUUUUGACGUUACCGACAGAAUAAGCACCGGCUAACUCUGUGCCAGCAGCCGCGGUAAUACAGAGGGUGCAAGCGUUAAUCGGAAUUACUGGGCGUAAAGCGCGCGUAGGUGGUUUGUUAAGUUGGAUGUGAAAUCCCCGGGCUCAACCUGGGAACUGCAUUUGUGACUGUAUAGCUAGAGUACGGUAGAGGGGGAUGGAAUUCCGCGUGUAGCAGUGAAAUGCGUAGAUAUGCGGAGGAACACCGAUGGCGAAGGCAAUCCCCUGGACCUGUACUGACGCUCAUGCACGAAAGCGUGGGGAGCAAACAGGAUUAGAUACCCUGGUAGUCC
rnacentral:rRNA from 1 species